rnacentral:rRNA from 1 species
GAAGAAAUCGUUAAGGGCGUAUGGCGGAUGCCUAGGCUCACAGAGGCGAAGAAGGACGUGAUAAGCUGCGAAAAGCUGCGGGGAUUUGCACAUAAGAAUAGAUCCGCAGAUAUCCGAAUGGGGCAACCCACUAUGUUGAAGGCAUAGUACCAGAGAUGGGGCGAACCCGGAGAACUGAAACAUCUAAGUACCCGGAGGAAGAGAAAUCAAAUGAGAUUCCCAGAGUAGUGGCGAGCGAAAUGGGAUUAGCCGAGAAUUUACAAAUAUUAGAAAUACUUGGAAAAGUAUACCGAAGAAGGUGAGAGUCCUGUAUAAGAAAUGAGUAGAUUACGUAUUAAGUAGGGCGGGACACGAGAAAUCCUGUUUGAAGAAGGGGGGACCAUCCUCCAAGGCUAAAUACUCCUGUGAGACCGAUAGUGAACAAGUACUGUGAAGGAAAGGUGAAAAGCACUUUGAAUAAAAGGGUGAAAGAGAACCUGAAACCGUACGCCUACAAGCGGUCGGAGCAUCGUAAGAUGUGACGGCGUGCCUUUUGCAUAAUGAGCCUACGAGUUACUGUUACUGGCGAGGAUAAGGUGUUCAGCACUGUAUUCGAAGCGAGAGCGAGUCUGAAAAAGGCGGUAUAGUCAGUAGGAGUAGACGCGAAACCUUGUGAUCUACCCAUGGGCAGGUUGAAGCUGUGGUAACACACAGUGGAGGACCGAACCGGUUGACGUUGAAAAGUCUUCGGAUGACCUGUGGGUAGGGGUGAAAGGCCAAUCAAACUGGGAAAUAGCUCGUACUCCCCGAAAUGCAUUUAGGUGCAGCGUUUAAAUAAGUUUAUUAGAGGUAGAGCUACUGAUAGGAUGCGGGGGAUUCACCUCCUACCAAUUCCUGACAAACUCCGAAUGCUAGUAAAUGAUAUUAAGCAGUGAGGGCAUGGGUGCUAAGGUCCAUGUCCGAGAGGGAAAGAACCCGGACUAACAGCUAAGGUCCCUAAAUGUAUGUUAAGUUGAUAAAACGCGGUUGGAUUGCACAGACAGCUAGGAUGUUGGCUUGGAAGCAGCCAUUCAUUUAAAGAGUGCGUAACAGCUCACUAGUCGAGCGAUCUGGCAUGGAUAAUGAUCGGGCAUAAACAUACUACCGAAGCUAUAGACUGUAGAUACAGUGGUAGGGGAGCAUUCUAUACGAGUAGAAGUUGAGCUGUAAGGCUUGGUGGAUUGUAUAGAAAAGAAAAUGUAGGCAUAAGUAACGAUAAUGCGGAUGAGAAAUCCGCACGCCGCAAGACUAAGGAUUCCUCAGCUAUGCUAAUCAGCUGAGGGUUAGUCGGGACCUAACAUGAACCCGAAAGGGGUAGUGGAUGGCAAACAGGUUAAUAUUCCUGUACCUGCUCACAGAGGAAGUGACGGGGUUAAGUAAUAAGUGCGUACUGACGGAAUAGUACGUUGAACCCAUUUAACGUGGGGAUAGUACACAAAGGCUACGGCUGGCGUGAUAAUCUUAUGAAGUGACCUCCAAGAAAUAGCGAGUGAAGCAGCCCGUACCGUAAACCGACACAGGUAGUCGAGGAGAGUAUCCUAAGGCGCUCGAGUGAAUCAUGGCUAAGGAACUAGGCAAAAUAGACCUGUAACUUCGGGAGAAAGGUCGCCCCAAGCGAUUGGGGCCGCAGCGAAGAGGUCCAGGCGACUGUUUAUUAAAAACACAGCACUCUGCAAACACGAAAGUGGACGUAUAGGGUGUGAUGCCUGCCCGGUGCUGGAAGGUUAAUUGAUGGGGUUAGCGUAAGCGAAGCUCUUGAUCGAAGCCCCAGUAAACGGCGGCCGUAACUAUAACGGUCCUAAGGUAGCGAAAUUCCUUGUCGGGUAAGUUCCGACCUGCACGAAUGG